rfam:Oryza glaberrima chromosome 5 Oglab05_0009_14, whole genome shotgun sequence.
UUUAAGUGUAACCAUAAAUUUCUAUGUCUAACUUUGAUCGUUCGUUUUAUCUGAAAUUUUUUUAUAACUAGUAUUUUUUAUUGUAAAAUAUGAAUAGUAUUUUAUACGUGACUUAUGUUUUAAGUUUUUUAAAAAAAAAAUAAAUAAGACAAACAAUUAAAAAUUAGAUACGAAAAAUCAUGGGCUGUAUUUUAA